AGAGUUUGAUCCUGGCUCAGGAUGAACGCUAGCUACAGGCUUAACACAUGCAAGUCGAGGGGCAGCAUGUUGGUUGCUUGCAACCAAUGAUGGCGACCGGCGCACGGGUGAGUAACGCGUAUCCAACCUACCCUUGUCCAUCGGAUAACCCGUCGAAAGGCGGCCUAACACGAUAUGCGGUUCACAGCAGGCAUCUAAGGUGAACGAAAUGUGAAGGAGAAGGAUGGGGAUGCGUCUGAUUAGCUUGGUUGGCGGGGUAACGGCCCACCAAGGCUACGAUCAGUAGGGUUCUGAGAGGAAGGUCCCCCANAUUGGAACUGAGACACGGUCCAAACUCCGUACGGAGGCA
rnacentral:rRNA from 1 species